UACGUAGGGGGCAAGCGUUGUCCGGAAUCAUUGGGCGUAAAGCGCGUGUAGGCGGCUCGGUAAGUCUGCUGUGAAAGUCCAGGGCUCAACCCUGGGAUGCCGGUGGAUACUGUCGAGCUCGAGUCCGGAAGAGGCGAGUGGAAUUCCUGGUGUAGCGGUGAAAUGCGCAGAUAUCAGGAAGAACACCAACGGCGAAGGCAGCUCGCUAGGACGGUACUGACGCUGAGACGCGAAAGCGUGGGGAGCGAACAGG
rnacentral:rRNA from 1 species